UACGGGGGGGGCAAGCGUUGUUCGGAAUUACUGGGCGUAAAGGGCUCGUGGGCGGCCAACUAAGUCAGACGUGAAAUCCCUCGGCUUAACCGGGGAACUGCAUCUGAUACUGGAUGGCUUGAGUUCGGGAGAGGGAUGCGGAAUUCCAGGUGUAGCGGUGAAAUGCGUAGAUAUCUGGAGGAACACCGGUGGCGAAGGCGGCAUCCUGGACGGCUAUUGACGCUGAGACGCGAAAGCAUGGGGAGCAAACAGG
rnacentral:rRNA from 1 species